rnacentral:lncRNA from 1 species
UUUGUUUCUAUAUAUUUUUUUUUAGUUAUGUCUUCUCCCACUUUGCCACAUCCCAAUUCAUCUCAACAAUCAGCAUCUUUUAUUGGCACUAAUGAACCAUGUGAUACUCAAGAGAAGGAUGAAACUGUUGAUAAUCAUGAUAUGGAUGGGAUUGAAAAUGAACUAGAAGGAAAGAAAAUUCGUAAAAAAGUUUCAAAGAUUUGGGAAUGUUUUGAAGAAGUAGAAGUUCUUGAGAAUAAAGUAUUAGUGAAAAAACUCAAAUACAAAUAUUGUAUAAGAAAGUAUUGCAAAUCAGAGACGGGCACCACCUCACAGCUAAAAAGGCAUAUGAAUGAAUGUUUUUACUUG